rnacentral:misc_RNA from 1 species
GUGAAUCAUCGAAUUUUUGAACGCAAAUUGCACUCUCUUCGGAGAGUAUGCCUGUUUGAGGGUCAGUAUUAAUAAAAAAUCGGUUUGGUUGCAAAUUGUGACGUUUCCGGAGUUUGGGCUAUCUUAACUUUUUUGGUUAAGGGGCUUAAAAUUGACCUUAUUUGCGCAUUUUUAGACGUACAUAAAUUUUUUUUUUAUUCUUCUUUUCUAAUUCCCAAAACCUUAUUAGAUCGGAUCCA